rnacentral:rRNA from 1 species
UGCCAGCCGCCGCGGUAAUACGUAGGUGGCGAGCGUUAUCCGGAUUUAUUGGGCGUAAAGCGCGCGCAGGCGGUUGGUCAAGUCCGACGUGAAAUCUCUCGGCUUAACUGGGAGGGGUCGUUAGAAACUGAUCAACUUGAGGCAUUAUGAAGUAAUUAGAAUGUGUAGUGUAGCGGUGAAAUGCAUAGAUAUUACACAGAAUACCAAUUGCGAAGGCAGGUUACUAAUAAUGUACUGACACUGAGGGACGAAAGCGUGGGGAGCGAACAGGAUUAGAUA